UUGUUUUCUAUUCAAAUGCAUUAACUGAUGCAAUAAUAUUGGUUUUUAAAACACUUUAUUGUUUAGUUUUUGUUAAAUAUCUUUGGAAACAUUUUUGUCAGCUAAAAAUUAUGUCUACCCUAGACUUUUUCAUCAAUGAGAAUACAGAUUUCACGGCCCUAGAACAGAAUUUAUUUCUGACCCUUCUUCAAACUGAAAUAUCCGUAUUUUAUUUAAUAUUUUGAGGAAAUAACUAAGAUUGUUUUGCCUCUCCGCUUAGUAGAAGAAAAUGGUAAAUUAACUGUUCGUCAUACUGAAGAUGAGCAGAUAUUAACGCAAAACAGAUUAUACAAAGCAUUUGUUCCUUGUGUUGUGUUUCUAGUCAUGGAACUAAUUUCAUUUUUUGCUGGAUUUUCUCUCUUUGUAAAAGCUCAGCAACAAUUGUCUUUAUUUUGUCACAUUGUUGGAAUAUUACUCUUAUAUGGUUUCAUUUACCAUGCAUAUGUCAAAAGUUUUCUUCUUCUUGUUGUUUUGAGCCCAGCAGUAUUGCCUUUUAUAUCAGAACUUGUUAUCAUCAUCAAACAUUAUUUCAUUAUGUUUUAAUUUUGAUUAAUGUCACAAUCAUAAUUUUUUACUUAUCAUGUUAUAACAUAUUUAAUUGCAUUCUUCGUGCAUUUUUAUCAUUGUAUAGUUUUCAUUAAGUUAUCAUAAAGAAACUUUUUUUUUUAUUCACAUUAAGUUUUAACCUAGUUUGACAAGUUAGCUGAACAUACUGCGCGAUAAAUGUAUUGAAGUAUAAAAAUUUCGUUUAUUAAAAAAAUUAUGUAUGUUUUUGUAUAAAUUGAAAAAGUAAUAUAAGAUUUCCAAAUUAUUCACUUUACCUACAGAUUUCUUAAAUUAAAAAUGUUUUUCAUCGAUUCUCAAUUAUUAUGCAUACACUAUAAUAUACAUUCACUGCACUGCAUCCCACAAUCAAAUUAAACAUACUUCAUUAAAAGCUCGAAACUCAUUGCCGGAUCUAAACUGACAAAGGUAAUACCAAAUUAUUGCAAGGUCCCGCAGUAGAUGGAUCAUUAAGACACCAUUAUUGGCAGAUCACCUAAGUCACACAUCACUAGCUGUGGUCAUUUUCAUCAGCCUGCGAAGGGAUUGAGGGUGUGAGGUAUUGGUCUCCAUUUAACUGUUUAUCAUAAGUGCUCGAUUUUCCUCACAGGUUGUCCAGGUACCAAAGCAGGGGUGCCAUC
rnacentral:misc_RNA from 1 species